GAUGGACAUUGGGGAGGGUAUGUGCUCUGGCGAGUGCUGUGAAUCGUGCAAGACUGAGAAUUCAUAGACCGUACCCCAGAAAUUAAUAAUGCAUUCUAUGUUAAUUUUAAAAAUGAU